GUCUACAGCCAUAUCUCCCUAAACACUCCCAAUUUCCUCUGGUCUCAGAAGCUAAGCAGGGUUGGGCUGGUUAGUACUUGGAUGGGAGACCUCCUGAGAAUAGCAGGUGUUGUAGGCU
rnacentral:rRNA from 1 species